CAAGAAAAACCAGCAGCGGUAGACCUAAAAAAAACAAAGACACGGCCUCCUCCCCGAAAAGCUAAGAGCUGUAGAGAGCAAAAAUGAGUAGCAGCUUCAUGUAACGCGCAGCUGCUGCUAUUGACCUUAUUCCCUCAAGCCAACACCGUCUUCUUCGUUAACAAAGGGCCAAAAACUCUAUUAUUAGCACCAUUCUCGUUACUAAACCCACCUCAGAAACAACCUCUUUCUCUCUCCCUAAAAGACCAUGAAAACUAGUCACAAACUUCAGCCUUAGACCAUGAAAAAAUGCAGCAGCUCAACCAAUAAACACUGCGCCUUUCUCCUAUGAAAACCAACCCGAAACUCCAUGAAACCUGACCAAAAAAUCCGCAAAACGCCCCUCAAACUUCAGCUGAAAAAGCUGCCGGAAAGCAGCUCAAAAACGUCCCCUUUUUCAAUCAAAAACUCAGCGUUGUUAACCUGCAAAACCCAGCAGAAACGAUUCAAAACAGCCCCCAUUUCGGACGUAAAAUAGCAGCGUCAAAAUUGAGUUUCGAGUUCGACGGCGAAGUUUUCCGGUUGAAAUCUUGUUCGCAUUUCCGUUUCCGAUGCCAUGGUCCGAUUUCAAUUUUCUUAGCUCAUUGGUCACUGCCAUUGUACAAAGCUUGUCUUGGAGUUUCUCUUUGUUAAUAUAUUGAAGAUGAUUUUUUCACCGAUGAAGGUGCGGUUUUGUUCUACUUUACUAAUUUUUUUUAAAUGAAUAUAAUGCAUCUUCUAUAGAUUUGCAGUUUAUAACUUGCAUAAAACUAGCCUGCUAUUUAGUCUUUUAAUGUUUUAGCAAGAAUUUGAUAAAGGUCUAUUUAGUUGAAGUUUUAUUUGUUCUCAUGUCUAGUGUGAGUUUCUAACUUUCUGUUACUAUGCAUUAUUAGAAAUAAAUAGCUAUAGUAUUUUAAUAUUGACCACAACUGGCUAUGACUACAAAAUAUCUGCCCAUGCCCAUUUGUCUCAUUUCAGUUUUGGUCCUUUCUCAAUAAGUUCACUAGUUUGCCCAUUUCUUAUAACUUAAUAAAUUGUCCAACUCCUUCUAACUUAGCAAGAUAAUUGAACUUGUUAAUGCAUCAAGAGCUAAUCAUACACAUCUUAUUCACAGUCAUUGCUCCAUAGUUCUCAUGCCAAAUAAAACCCCUAAGCCCAUGGCCCUCACAAAUAUUAGCUAGCUCUUAUAGAAAAAUCGAGGUGUGCCAUUAGUUGAAUUUUCCUUGGCCUUCGCAAAAGGCGUAGUUGCUUUAGGCGCGUAAUUUAAAUUAUUUCCCUAAAUUCNNNNNNNNNNNNNNNNNNNNNNNNNUCAAGACGCGUUUUAGAUGACGUUGAAUCUUUCCUAAAAAAACAAUUAAAUAUUUAGAAUUAUACCGUAGGCUAAAACAUGUAUUAAAAUCAGAUAAUAGGCCAAUUAUAACAGUUGAGCGACCGUGCUAGAACCACGGAACUUGGGAAUGUGUAACACCUUCUCUCGGGUUAACAGAAUUCCUUAUCUAGAAUUUCUGGUUCGCGGGCUUUAAAAAAUAAAAUUUCCUCGAUUUGGGAUUUUAAAAUAAACGGGUGACUUGGGACACCAUAAAUUAUCCCAAGUGGCGACUCUGAUUCUUAAAUAAAUAAUCCCGUUUCGAUUGUCACUUUAAUUGGAAAAACUCCCUCAUAUACCCUUCUUGGGGGUGUACGUAAAAAAAGAGGUGUGACAGCUCUGGCGACUCUGUUGGGGAACAGAACCCAGAAUCUCUAGUUCAAGGUUCAAGAAUUCGAGCUUAGAAUAAUUGUUAUAUUUGGCUUUAUUUAUUAUCUGAUUUUAUUGCAUGUUUGAGCCUAACGUACUAAAUGCCGCUUGUUACCGCUUUGAUAUUAUUUGAAUUGUAUAUAAACUAUUACGAAACCCUUCUCUUCUCCUCUUCGGGGAUGUGCACGCUGGCGUGACUCCUCCUUCUGUUAGUGUCAUACCUUGAAAUAAGAAAGAGGCUCGGACAAGUUACAAAGCCGGAUAGCCUUUUGGUUCCCGGUACGUAGUCCCCUCCUCGACUCGAGUUGUCCGCUCGGUUACACAAGUCUAGAACAAUAUACCCAGAUUUUUAGCUUAGAAUAACUCAGUCUCAUGCCGGAUCCCUAGUAGGAACGUUUGUUUGUAUCACGUGCAUUUGACUUUGGAGACUCAAUACAGGAGUUUGGUCCGUCUAGGACAAGUGCACCAAAUUAAAAGACCAUCCUGAUAUAUCUUACGUGCUACUUGCGUAUCUGUCUAUUUUAGCUUGCAUGCUGAAUGGCUUCUAGAAUAGGGAAAGAAAAUGAAAAUCGAAAAAAAAAGAGAGUGAGAGAUAUGUAUUUGAAUUACCCUGAAAUUCUAUUGAAAUUUUGAAAAAAAAAAGUCACUUCAAAAUAAGUCAUAUUUUCUUUUGUUAAGUCAAAACCGGGCGAACUACGCGGGUCUGAUUCUCACCGGAUGUGAGAUACGUAAGGAAAACCUCAUCGGGUUCCGGCCCAUAAUUUUCAAAAAAAUCCANNNNNNNNNNNNNNNNNNNNNNNNNCCCUAAUUGUUUUUUUUUUAAAAAAAUAUGCAAAAAUGUUUUCUUUUAAUUUCUUCCAAAAAUCCAAAAAUAUUUUCAUUCUUCUUUCAAAAUUGAAAAGAAAAUUCAAAAUUCAAAAAUAUUUUCUUUUUUUUAGAAGCAUUUCUUUCAUAAAUUCAAAAUAAAAUUUCAAAAAAUAUUUUCUUUCUUCUUUAGAAGUCUUUCUUUGCAAAAAUGCUGAAGAAAAAUCAAAAUCCAAAAAUAUUCUAUUUCUUCUUUAUAAGUCUUUCUUUCGAAAAAAAAAAUAAAAAAUUCAAAAAAAGAGUUAGUUUAUUUAUUUUAUUUCUGAUCUUCCCGAACUAUGCAAGAUCUGAUUUAUGUUCCCACAUGAUACGUAGGCAACCCACAUCAGGUUGGAUCGAAUGGUUUAAAAAAAAGGAAAAUGUAAAAGAGAAAAAAAACAAAAGAAAUCUUAGUCUGACGAAUCUUUCUUCUAAGAUAACAAAAAGGGACCUAGUUUGAUGAAUUUUCUACUAGGAACAAAAUCUUAGUCUGAUGAAUCUUUCUCCUAAGAUAGGAAACCUUGUCUGAUGAAUUUUCUCCUAGGAUCAAAAUCUUAGUCUGAUGAAUCUUUCUCAUAAGAUAGAAGACCUAGUCUGAUGAACUUUCUCCUAUGAUAGAAAUCUUAGUCUGAUGAAUCUUUCUCCUAAGAUAGAAAACCUAGUCUGAUGAACUUUCUCCUAUGAUAAACAUCUUAGUCUGAUGAAUCUUUCUCCUAAGAUACAAAAAAAGAUCUUAGUCUGAUAAAUCUUUCUCCUAAGAUAGAAGACCUAGUUUGAUGAAUUUUCUCCUAGGAUAAAAAUUUUAGUCUGAUGAAUCUUUCUCCUAAGAUACCAAAAAAAGAGACUUAGUCUGAUGAAUUUUCUCCUAGGAUCAAAAACAUAGUCUGAUGAAUCUUUCUCCUAAGACAGAAAACCUAGUCCGAUGAAUUUUCUCCUAGGAUAAUAAUUUUUUUUAAAAAAAAGUAAGUCUGAAUUUGAAAAAAAGGGGAGUAAUUUUUUUUAAUUUUCUUAAUAUUAUCAAUGUUUAGUUUUCCUGAAAUCGGGGGGGCCGCUUGGAGAAUAGGGUCAGUUUUUACUUUACUCAAGCUUAGUUUAUAGUUUUUCGCAAGCUCAAUCACGUUUAGGAGACACACAUCCUAGUCGAGUCAUUAAUUUUACUCUCAUCAUUGCAUCCUUCAUCAGCAUCGCAUGUGAUUUAUAGUUUUGUUAACACUCACAGAUGUUCCCAAUAUCAAACUGCGGCAGGAAAAUUUCUUUGUUUGUCUGUUUUGUUGUAAUCAGGUGCCCACCUGGAGAACAAGGGAAGACAACUCAAGUUUCAAGGGAAAGCAGUUUCGAAGGAAGACAACUCAGGUUUCAAGGGAAAGCAGUUUCGAAGGAAGACAACUCAAGUUUCAAGGGAAACAGUUUCGACAAAACAAGCUCGCGUCAAGAAUGCGAGUCAGCAGUCCAAGAUGAUCAACAGAAGUUAGUCACAAUCCAAAAUAAAAAGAAAAAAAAACAAAAAGAAAGACAAGAAGUGAAUCCAAAUGUAGAAGUUAAUGAAAGAUGUGAGCUGCUCAAAACAGGGCUGAGGUCACAAGCUCUGCAUGUCCUGUCUUGGUUUGAAAAGCUGAAGAAGAUUGAACCAACACUUGCGGCUAACAAGCAUCAAGAUUCAGAUCAGGGUCCGCAUGAAGAAACAACCAAGACUCAAGAUCAAGCUUCAGAAGACUCAUAGAUAGAAAUCUUGUAACUCGUAGCUGAUAGGUUUAGUUAGUUUUUUUUUUAUUUUUUAUUUUGAUGUAAUAACGGGACCGCGGACCGGAACCUCAGUGGAACGACACCUGUACUGGCUCUCCACCUCGGUACUCCAUCACCUCAUUCACUUCUAAACUACACGUGGCCUGAUUCCUUUAUAGCCAAGGAUAUGUAGGCAGCUCAGGUACCAGGGCUCGAUCAUAUUUUCCGUCCUCUUAGUUUUUUGUCUCCUUAAAUAAGGACCGGGUCAAAAAACAUGUCUAAUCAUUCUUUGUCUGAAAACUCUACGCGUUUCCAGUCAUGUAAUUUUUCACCCUCCCCAAGAUUUUUCAUAUUUUAGCACGUAAAUAUUUAUAUUUAUGCCUAAUAUAGCUAUUUCAACUAAUUUUUACUCUUUUACUUUAUUUUAUUACAAGAAAAAUAAAAAUUACAAAAAUAGUUCUAUUAAUGUUUUGUACUCAUUUUUAAUCUUGAAAAAUACCCAAAAAAAUAGUUUAUUUUAAUAGUUAUUUUAUUUAAGUAAAAUUAAUUAAUAAAUAAAGUAGUAUUUUAGUCUUGUUCACCGAGAAAAGAAUAAAACAUAGGCUCGAGCUAUCCAUUUUAGGCCUAAUUUUGGACCUAGCCCAUAAUUUCCAAGCUCAUAAUUCUUAGGCUCAUACCCCUAACAUAAUCCCUACCCCUGUAUAAUAGAACCUCACACCUAAAUAUAGACCUAACAUUAGACCCCAAGAAAACCCAGCAACGGUAGACCUAAAAAAAACAAAGACACGGCCUCCUCCCCAAAAAGCUAAGAGUUGUAGAGAGCAAAAAUGAGUAGCAGCUUCAUGUAACGCGCAGCUGCUGCUAUUGACCUUAUUCCCUCAAGCCAACACCGCCUUCUUCAUUAACAAAGGGCCAAAAACUCUAUUAUUAGCACCAUUCUCGUUACUAAACCCACCUCAGAAACAACCCCUUUCUCUCUCCCUAAAAGACCAUGAAAACUAGUCACAAACUUUAGCCUUAGACCAUGAAUAAAUGCAGCAGCUCAACCACCAAAAUACUGCGCCUUUCUCCUUUGAAAAACAGCCCAAAAAUCCAUGAAAACUGACCAAAAACUCCAGAAAAAUGCCCCUCAAACUUCAGCUGAAAAAGCUGUCGGAAAGCAGCUCAAAAACGUCCCCUUUUUCAAUCAAAAACUCAGCGUUGUUAACCUGCAAAACCCAGCAGAAACGAUUCAAAACAGCCCCCAUUUCGGACAUAAAAUAGCAGCGUCAAAAUUGAGUUUCGAGUUCGACGGCGAAGUUUUCCGGUUGAAAUCUUGUUCGCGUUUCCGGUUCCGAUGCCAUGGUCCGAUUUCAAUUUUGUUAGCUCAUUGGUCACUGCCAUUGUACAAAGCUUGGCUUGGAGUUUCUCUUUGUUAAUAUAUUGAAGAUGGUUUUUUCACCGGUGAAGGUGCGGUUUUGUUUUACUUUACUAAUUUUUUUUAAAUGAAUAAAAUGCAUCUUCUAUAGAUUUGCAGUUUAUAACUUGCAUAAAACUAGCCUGCUGUUUAGUCUCUUAAUGUUUUAGCAAGAAUUUGAUAAAGGUCUAUUUAGUUGAAGUCUUAUUUGUUCUCAUGUCUAGUGUGAGUUUCUAACUUUCUGUUACUAUGCAUUAUUAGAAAUAAAUAGCUGUAGUAUUUUAAUAUUGACCACAACUGGAUAUGGCUACAAAAUAUCUAAGGGACUAAAUGUGACAGAAUUGGUUAUAUUACAAAGUUGGCGACAAGAUGACAAUCGGGCCAAGAAC
rnacentral:lncRNA from 1 species